UUCAAAUGUAAAAAUUUGAAUUCAUUUAAGAGUAAACUAGGAUAAUUGAAAAGGCAUUCUAGACAUUUCACCAAAGAAAAUUGGACCGUUGUUGUGGGAAAAAGCAUGAAUGUGAGAAAAAGCAUAUGAACGUUGUCAUGGAGAGCGGGUGAGAAAAAGCAUAUGAACGUUGUCAUGGAGAAUUAAGAAAAAGCCUGAAUUUCUGCACUGGAAUCCCCUAUUUAAUAGGACAUCUUCAAUUUCAAAGCCUGAAAUAUACCAAUUUUUUUAGAUGGCUCUCGAAGAGCUUUGCACUUCUGUUAUCUACAGAGAGUGUUCCUUGUUUGAAUGUUUUUGGUCUUCUAUCAAUGCUUUCCUCUGUUUUCUUGUUCUUUCUCUCGUUACAAUUUUGUUUUGUUUUUUCUUUGGUUUUUUCAAUUUUUUUGGCGAGGGUUUUGUUCGGCGUGCACGCUGGAUUGUCUGUGUGAUUUGUCCUGUUUUUUUUUGUUUUCUUUGUUUUUGGUUUCCUGGUUUUACUGUGAGGAAGAGGCAGAGCAAAGGGAGGACAGAGGAAGAGGCAGAGCAAAGGAAGCCACCAGUAAGAGGAAAAUUUCUUCUUCUAGGAUGAAGGUGAUGGCUAAAGGUGGUUCUAGGGCUUGUAAUUUUCUACGAAUAGGGUGAUUGCAAACCACCAUUUGUCUGCCAGAAUAGAGGAAGAGGCAGAGCAAAGGAAGCAGCAGUUGAUGGAGGAAAAUUUAGAUGAAAGAAGACCAGGCCAGAACAAGGACGACCUUCUCCAGCCCAGCAUCAACAAGGACGACCUUCUCCAGCCCAACCUCAUCAAGGACGACCUCUUCCAGUCCAACAUUUGAAGUGUCAGACAAGGUGGCAUCCCAGUCAUCACUCCUCCAGUUGGAUUGGUCCACCUCAGUGUGUCCAGAUUCAAUGUACCUGACUCAUCAAAGAUGACACAAACUUCGAUGUACCUACCCCGGUUCUCCAUUGGUCGAAUAUUCCAGAGAAGACAUGUGUCCAAAUAAUGCAAUUAUUUCAUUGGCCAGAAUUGAGUUUGUUGUAACAAACCCUAAUUAGGGUUUCAUUGUAAAAUCUUGGCCAUUGAUCUCAAAUUGAUCUAAGCCAUUGAAUUGUAUUAUGGGCACUAUAUAAGCCUUGGCUCCUCAUUUGUAAAGGCUGAUAGUUAGUCAGUAGUUAGAAGGUGAAUAGUUAGCUAAUAGUGAAUAGUCAGUUGAUAGAAUAGCAAUUAGAGUAGAAUAGAAAGAGAAGGCAAAGAUUGUUGCCAAGAUGUUGUUGUAAAAGACUUGUAAAACUUCAUUGAAGAAAUGGUGAAAUCUAUGGGUCGA